rnacentral:lncRNA from 1 species
GCUGACUGGAAACCAGCCCUGAUCUGCAGAGCCCAGGCUGUCAGCCCCAGCUGUGGGAUGACACCCUGUGUCCCUGGUCCCUCUCACAUUCAGCCAAUAAGAAAGGUGGCAGGAUGCUGAAGGAGAAGCGGUCAUGUUGGUGGAAAGAGCUGGGAUGAGAUGUUCCAGGCCGACAGGCAGGAAGUGAGCAGAGAAGCCUUUGGAGGUCUGAGUGCCCAGCAAAUACCCACGGGGCUGCUUGGCCUCUACCAUCCAAAACACUUAAGACGCGGUGUGCGUCUCGGUGCGCAUGCGCAUCAGAGCCGACGGGGCUGAGACAGAUGAGCUGAAAGCUCCCCUAAGGGACUUCCACGGUGGCAUCCUGCCCAGGUACACAUCACCCAGUUUGCUGUCGCUCAGGUAUGGCAUUGGUGGCUGGCCUGAGUUUUCUGUGGUUCGUUGCUAAUCUAUUCAAGAAUGUAUCUGCACUAGUGUGUCUUAUGUCAGCUCGACACAGGAUAGAGCCAUCUGAAUGAUGGAUCCUCAGUUGAGAAAGUUCUUCAUAAUAUGGGGCUGCAGGGAAGCCUGUAAGGCAUUUCUUAGUGAUUGAUGGGGGAGGGACCAGACCAAUAUGGGUGGUAUCACUUCUCAGUUAUUGUUCUAAGGGGUAAGCAGCAUCCCUCUGUAGCCUCUGUAUCAGCUCCUGCCUCC